rnacentral:rRNA from 1 species
GACGAACGCUGGCGGCGUGCCUAAUACAUGCAAGUCGAGCGGACUGAUUAAGAGCUUGCUCUUAUGACGUUAGCGGCGGACGGGUGAGUAACACGUGGGCAACCUGCCCUGUAGAUCGGGAUAACACCGAGAAAUCGGUGCUAAUACCGGGUAAUAUCUGAGAUCACAUGAUCUUAGGUUAAAAGAUGGCUCCGGCUAUCACUACAGGAUGGGCCCGCGGCGCAUUAGCUAGUUGGUAAGGUAAUGGCUUACCAAGGCGACGAUGCGUAGCCGACCUGAGAGGGUGAUCGGCCACACUGGGACUGAGACACGGCCCAGACUCCUACGGGAGGCAGCAGUAGGGAAUCUUCCGCAAUGGACGAAAGUCUGACGGAGCAACGCCGCGCGAGUGAUGAAGGGUUUCGGCUCGUAAAGCUCUGUUGUUAGGGAAGAAACAGUACCGAACGAACUAGGUCGGUACCUUGACGGUACCUAACCAGAAAGCCACGGCUAACUACGUG